AAUCAAACUGCCGAAAAUGAUUAUAGUCUGUUCAGAAAGUAAUCGAGUUUUACUUUCCCUGUAAAAUCUUAUUAAAUAUUAGAACUGAAAUCGAUGGAAAAUAAAUGGUCCAUAUUUAUUAACAAACUCUCAAGGUUAGUUUUAUAGCAGAGUCAUCAGAACUAUUCAUCAUAAGUUAGAUUUCGAAUAUUAUCAGGAGGCACUUUCAUACUCUGAAUUCUGUUAAGUGGAAUCAUAUAGACAGGGAGUGGCUUAGGAUUACUGUAAGGAGUUGAACCAAGUUAUUUUUAGAUGUCCCCCCUCCUAGCAUCUGCAGCAUAUCAAAAUCAUUUCUAGAUGAAGACAAAUGUAUGGC